rnacentral:rRNA from 1 species
AGAGCAUCCUACGGGAGGCAGCAGUGGGGAAUAUUGCACAAUGGGCGCAAGCCUGAUGCAGCCAUGCCGCGUGUAUGAAGAAGGCCUUCGGGUUGUAAAGUACUUUCAGCAGUGAGGAAGGUGGAUAUGUUAAUAGCAUAUUCAUUUGACGUUAGCUGCAGAAGAAGCACCGGCUAACUCCGUGCCAGCAGCCGCGGUAAUACGGAGGGUGCGAGCGUUAAUCGGAAUUACUGGGCGUAAAGCGCAUGCAGGUGGUUUGUUAAGUCAGAUGUGAAAGCCCGGGGCUCAACCUCGGAAUUGCAUUUGAAACUGGCAAACUAGAGUACUGUAGAGGGGGUAGAAUUUCAGGUGUAGCGGUGAAAUGCGUAGAGAUCUGAAGGAAUACCGGUGGCGAAGGCGGCCCCCUGGACAGAUACUGACACUCAGAUGCGAAAGCGUGGGGAGCAAACAGGAUUAGAUACCCCGGUAG